CAAAGACCAGAAUCCUGCCCAGAACUAUGGGAGUGAGCUUGGAAGAAGAGACUCCCGUUUCACACCAGUUUUGAGAGAACUGCAGGUUCUCCAACACCCAGAUUGCAGCUUCUGCGACCCUGAACCAGAACCACUCACGGAAGACACACCUGGAUUCCUGACCACCAGAAAUUUUACUGUGGGUGGAAGUGUGUUCCUAGAGGAAAGAUAAUAAAGCAAAACUCUGGACUUUCAGGACUAGCGAUAUGCAGGAAAAUACUCUCCAGUGAUGCUGAGCGGUGACAGCCAGCACAGCUCCCAGUCAGCCACGCGAUCACAAGCGGAAACAAUGAAUCCACUCGCAACCACUCUGUACCCAGACUUCCAUUGUUUUUCACUUUCAGUACAGUGUUCAAUAAAUCA